GUACUCACCUGGCAGGGGAGAUACCACAAUCACAAAGGUGGUUUUCCCAGGGCGAGGCUUAUCCAUUGUACUCUGGGUGUGCUGACCCCUGCGAUUUCCCCAAAUGUGGGAAACUCAACUGCAUAAUUUAUGGUAGUGGGUGACUGCGUUUGCGCUUUCCCCUG
rnacentral:snRNA from 1 species